UACGAGUGCCCCAAGCGUUAUCCGGAAUUAUUGGGCGUAAAGGGUCCGUAGGCGGUUCUGUUAGUCUUCUGUCAAAUUCUUCGGCUUAACCGGGGGUCCGCAGGGGAAACGGCAGAACUUGAGGAUGCGAGAGGUGAAUGGAACUCAUAGUGUAGGGGUGAAAUCCGUUGAUAUUAUGGGGAACACCAAAUGCGAAGGCAAUUCACUGGCGCACUCCUGACGCUGAAUGACGAAAGCGUGGGUAGCGAAUGGG
rnacentral:rRNA from 1 species